UGUCUCCUUACUUCCUACAUCUCGAUAUCUGGUUCAAACUACUGAAGGGGACUGUGCUGAAUUCCUCUAUCAAUUUGUAACAGUCUGGCUCUUUACAGUACGUGCUUCUCACUGAGGAGGAAUAAUUAGCCAUAGUUGAUAACACAAGAAGGGGAGCAUUGUGUUGGAUACAGUUCCACGGAGUUCUUGUUAUAAUUAUCACUGUGGGACCAGACUGCACCAAAGCGUGUCUGACACUGAUAUCACUGCAUUCUGCAUCCCAGCAUGAAGUGAAUGGGACGAGGGAUUCAACUGGGUGCUGUUUUGUUGUGAAUGCUGCAACUGGAUUCAAAGGAAACUACAAUACAGUAAGGAUGAGUGGAGGAGAAAUUAUCUACCAGGGGUGGUUAAGAAAGUCCCCGCCAGAGAAAAAAUUAAGGAGAUACGAGGGCUGAAGAUCAAUAUGGCACCUCUGUUCCUGCUUGUCAUGCCAAUUUACACCCACCAAACCUCAGCAAAGGGAUGUUACCAAGCUAUUGAGGCCUGAGCCAGGUAAAUUUCCGCCUGGCUCGUCAGCCUGACCAGUAAGGGUUGCUGAAGUGUGUUGAGGCAAACUACAGUAUUGCCAGCUGACUUUCCUCCCAAAUCAGACAUCGGCGCAGUCAAACAGGGAUCAAACCACACUCCCGUGUUUCACCAGCCACCCCAAACUGUACUGGGUGAGCCACCCUAAAAGUUAUUUUGUGUCACCUUUUGUGUGUGUGUGUGGUGUAAAUGGUGCAAUCUAGCUGUUUGUUUUUGUUGUUGUUUUUCUGGAUAAAAUGAGAAAAAGCCAAAUGGCUGUAUACUAAGUUUUUUUUUUUUUUUUUUAAUGGAAGGCGUCUCGCAACCAGAUGCUGAAAAUGUCUCUGAUUUUUCAAAAAUAGAACUUUCUACGAUUUUAAUUCAAACAAAACCUGAAAAAGCUAGUAUGCUGUCAGUUCUUUGGUGUCUUUAAUAGACUUGCUACAUUAACUAUUGCUCAACAUCAUCAACAUGGCGCAGCUGCACAUGUGAUCAGUUUAAACUGAUUACAGCAGACAAUGUGAAUCCAUCAGGUGUCGCUGCGCUUUCUGGAUGUUUAUAAACUCAUCUUGUUAGACAUAAUAAGCACUGUUUCUUACUAUCAGCUAUCUUACUAUCUUCUGAAAUGUCUGAUGACAUAAUAAAGGGAGAUCUUCAAAGUCACUAGCAUGUUAUCUGCAUUGGGGCCUGCCGUAUUUUUGUCCUAUUUGAUUUGAAAUCAAAUUAAAAAAAAAAAACAUUUAAAAACAGAGUGUGUGUCAUUUGUCAAGAUUUAUCUGGUGGUAAAAACAAUACCUUCUGCAGAGAUUAGCUAAAAUGUUUUAUAUGUAUUACUCAUCUGGAAAAACUCCAGUAGAUGUUGGUUAAAAUAUUGAACGAUGGGAAGCUGUUCAAGUGAUCUGCAUGAAGGAGGCAGUGUCAAGCAGGUUUCUACCUACCAUUUUGUUUGAUCUUAUUCUUUAACAGUAUGACUGCUCUUCAGCACAGAGAACAUGUUUUGAAGACAUCCCACACAAACAAUAAAAAUGUAUGCUAAUGCCUCCUUUUCAGAAUGGUGCUCAAACUGCCAAAUCUGUGUUGACAAAACAACGCCAAGCCACGCCCACUGGCGUGCAAGAUCUUUACAUCCCACCCUGCACCCUCCCACCAGCCAUGCUGACUUCACUGUUUGUUCUGCAUUUGGCAUGCCCUAAAUGUGUGUCCUAAACAGACCCAACCAAGGCAUACUGCCUUCACAAUGGAGCGUCUGUAGACUGGAACAGUUUAUUACAGGAAAAAGUUGAAAUCUGAUAGAAUACCAAAACAAAGUUUUUCACGUGACAUCCAGAAUCACCCAGUUAUUUGUUUAAGAAUUGUAUUAUUGAUAAUAUUUUACAGACAAUUCCAGGUGUCCCUCACAGCAGUUAUAAACAAACAAACAAACAAAAAAUUGGGCACAGAGCAUGCAUGCCUUUUGAAAGCAGUUUGUGUAUGGAAGUGUAAAUGCUGGGGAUUGCUUUUGCAAUGGCCUCUGUGGCUCUUGGUGUCGGAGCCAAAUGACAGUUCCUGUGUUGUACAGUGACAGUUCUCAGUGUGGCAAUGAAAUACAGUACCGAAUGUGCUGUCUCACUCCUGAUGCCCUACCGUGAUAUGGAGUUUGUUUAAGCCAAACACAGUGUUGGUAUUCAUUAUACAAAUGUUUGUUAUUAUUGGACAAUCCUAUUAAAAAAAAAAAAAAAAAAAAAAA